UCCUUGAAAUUCAAUAGUUAACAGAGAUAUUUAAGUACCUCUUGGAAAAAUAUCUUAUAAGCCAUACUGAAGCCAAUCAGCACAAAUGAGCAUUUAUUUUUCAGCAAUGCUUCAUCAUCCAGGUAGAGGACGAGAGAAGGCAUGUUAGAGAACUGAUCUGGGGUGGAGGGUUGUGCUAAAGGUGUGGUGAAAGGACAAGGGUGAGGGAGGUAUAUGUAGGACUGAGAAAAUAUGAUGACCAACAGCGACCUGGAUCAGUCUGAAAAGAAAGGGCAGCAACAGCACUAAGAUAUUGAACACAUAUAGGGAAGGGCUGGUGAGCCCCAGGUGGUUGAAGAUUGAAUAGUCAGUAAAAGAUAAGCGGCAUUUAGAAAAUAGGUGAUGACAGAGAAUGGAGGACAACAUCCUUGGAAUUGUGAUGUUAGAGAGGUGGAUGGGUUGUCCAUAUGAUAAGUCCUCUUGGCAAGAUUGAAGACAGAGAAGAUAAAUGAGAUUGAAAUUCCAAAGGCUUAUCUAAGUGUGGAGGAGAGAACCAAAUGUAAUGUAGAUGGAUGGUUGUAAGGGGAGGUGAUGGAAGUCAUGUGUUAGGAGGCAAGAAUCUCAGAGAAAGUCUUUUGCUUAGGUUAGGUUAAAAAUGAAGAAUUAGAAAGGGCAGUGGAGAACUGGAAUGAUAAUGACGGUGCCUCUCAAGCAACAAAUACUGAAGUGUGGAACAAAGAACAAUAUCCUUUAAGAAAAGUGAUGCAGGAUAAAGUCAGGAUUUACUCAAGAUUAUCCUGAAAAGACACCAAAGAUAUAGGAAGCCUAAUUUACUAUGAAGUGUGUGUGUGUGUGUGUGUGUGUGUGUGUAUGUGUGUGUGUGUGUGUGCAUGCGUGCGUGCAUGUGCCCACACAUGGUAGUGGUCCGGAAGGCAUCAAAGAAAGUCUGGGAGAGAGUUCAGCUGGGGACCACUCAGAGCAGUAUGAGAAUUACAGGACAAAAGAAGACCAGUGAGAGGAUUGGUAAGACAUCUCAGGCUUAUAACUGAAUGAUUACAGAAAUAAGCAUGGAUGAAUCUGACAGCUUUGAUGUUCCCAUUUUACGGUACAAUGCUUUGGUGCCAGAAGUGACUCACACAGUAAUUUCCAAUUAUCAUGAGUUGUCACAAAAAGUGACAGGAUUCCCUAGAGAGUACAGCUGAACCCUGAACCACAUAGGGGUUAGGGAUGCUGACACACACAGUUCAAAAUCCAUAUAUAACUUUAAAGUGGGAAAGUAGGCCCCUGUGUCUGUGGUUCUGCAUCCCUGGAUUCAACCUACCUCAAACCAUUUAGUUCUUUAGUAUUUGCUAUUGAAAUAAAAAAACACAUAUAUUUGGAUCCACACAGUUCAAAUCCAUGUUGGUCAAGGGUCAACUGUAGUUGGUUCCAACUGUGGGGCAGGAAAACUCAAAAGGGAUCCUGAGACAUCUCCUUAUUGUUAAAAGGUAAGAAUGGUUUCAGAGGUAACUGAAGUAAUAUUUUGUCUUCAGUGAUGAUAAG
ensembl:lncRNA